UGAACCCUACGGGACGCAGCAGUGAGGAAUAUUGGUCAAUGGGCGCGAGCCUGAACCAGCCAAGUAGCGUGAAGGAUGACUGCCCUACGGGUUGUAAACUUCUUUUAUAAAGGAAUAAAGUGAGGCACGUGUGCCUUUUUGUAUGUACUUUAUGAAUAAGGAUCGGCUAACUCCGUGCCAGCAGCCGCGGUAAUACGGAGGAUCCGAUCGUUAUCCGGAUUUAUUGGGUUUAAAGGUUGCGUAGAUGGGUUGUUAAGUCAGUUGUGAAAGUUUGCGGCCCAACCGCAAAAUUGCAAUUGAUACUG
rnacentral:rRNA from 1 species